AAUCCAUUCUCGUAUUACUAGCUCAAGUCUCUCACACAUUGUCGACACUGCUCUUGUGAACAUGUACGCGAAGUGUGGCAGCCUUGGCGAUGCCCGGAGCGUUUUCGGCAGAAUGGAGAAAGAGGAUGUUGUCUCGUGGACAGCCAUGAUCGCGGCAUGUGUCCAGCACGGUGAAAGUCUGGAUGCUCUGGAACUGUACUGGAGGAUGGAACAGGAGGGGAUCAAGCCGGACAAGAUCGUGUUUGUCAGCCUUAUCGACGCUUGCUCUUGCCUGGGUGAUCUCAGACAAGGCAUGCGGGUGCAUGAGAGGCUUCACGCCGGUGGAUUCGACAUAGACAACUCGAUAGCAAGUGGGCUCGUCAACAUGUACAGGAAGUGUGGAAGUCUGACUGGGGCAAGAAGCGUCUUUAACAAGAUGGACCGGAACGACUUACUGUCCUGGAACGCUCUGAUAGCCGGAUAUGCAGAACAGGGGGACAGUCACGAGGCUCUACAGGUUUUCAGGUGGAUGGCUUGCGAAGGUGUGAAGCCCGAUGGAGUCACUUUCAACAGCAUCUUUGGUGCAUUUUCAUCGGCCAGGUUUCUUUGCGAGGGGAAAGCGGUCCAUGCCCGGAGUGCUGCUUGCGGCAUUGAUGUCCAGACGGUGGGAAUCUCGUUAGUCAAGAUGUACGGCCAGUGCGGGAGCCUGGAUGAUGCAAAGGCUGUGUUUGACAAGCUAGCGAGCAAGGAUGUAGUCGCCUGGAGUGCUCUCAUAGGUGCACAUACCCAGCAUGGGCAUGGCUUACAGGCGCUUCAACUUUACCAGGGGAUGAAGGAAGAGGGUGUGAAGGCGAAUGAUAUCACAUUUAUCACCCUGCUGGAUGCCUGUGCGAGUACGGGGCAGCUAUCCGCGGGCUUGGAGAUUCAUGCUGAGAUUGUUGCUGCUGGACUCGAGUCCGUGGGUUUUGUGGCCACCGCUCUGGUCAACAUGUAUGGCAAAUGUGGACAGCUUUCCACUGCCAGGGAUAUCUUUGACAGGAUACACCCACGAGACGUUGUUUCCUGCACGGCCAUGAUCUCCGCAUAUGUUCUUCAUGCCUGUCACCGGGAAGCGCUAGAAUUGUAUUUCAGACUGGAGCCAGAAGGGAUGAAGUCUGACAGGGUCACGUUCUUGAGCGUUCUUGAGGCUUGUUCAAGCCUGACGGCUCUGGAACAGGGAAGGGCCGUUCAUGCGAGCAUCGUCUCUAGGGGCUUGGACUCUGAUACGGGACUCAAAAAUUCGCUCAUCAACUUAUAUGGCAAAUGUGGGAGCCUGAAAGACGCAGAAAGCCUCUUUGACUGCAUGCGCUGCAGAGACCUGGUUACCUGGAACAGCAUGAUCACGACUUACUCACACCACGGCCGCGACGAGAUCUCGCUCGAGGUGUUUAUGCAGAUGAAGCUGGAUGGCAUCCAGCCAAACGAUGUCACGUUCGUCAGCAUGCUCUUCGUUUGCAGCCACGCCGGGUUGUUUGAGGAUGGCUGCAAGUGCUUUGGCUCCAUCACCGCGGACUACUCCAUGGAACUUACGGUGGACCACUACAACUGCGUCAUCGAUCUGCUUGGCCGGGCAGGCAACCUGGACGAAGCUGAAAUUCUCGUCGCCAACUUGCCCGAGCCUUGCUCAGUGGACUGGAUGACACUGCUCGGGGCGUGCAGGAUCCACGGUGACGCUGAUCGGGCACUGCGUACGGCCCAACGUGUCGCGGAGCUGGAUCCUGACAGUUUGGCUGGAAAGGUGUUGCUAUCAAACAUCUAUGCAACAGCACGAGAUUGGGAUGAUAAAGGAGAAAUCUUUACGUAAAUCUAAGCCAGGAGAGUGGGGGGAGGGGAGCCACGCACGAGAGCUCAGGUACUGACGACGCAGUUUUUCGCUUUUCUAACCGAAAAUGCGUCUCUUGUUGUAGGCGGAGAGGAACCACCGCUCCCGAUUUUUAAUUUCGCUCCCGGCUCAGCAGCCACGACAAGAUGUUUGAGAUGCUUUUUGUUUUGUAUUUUUCUCGCGACUCACAAGGAGCAGUUGAUCAGAUCGGAUCGGACAGGAGACAUACAUUUGUGUCUUCAAAUACAAAAGAAGGAAAGAGGUCCAAGGGGGGAGAGAGCAAAGCAGGAGCCAGCAGCGGCACAGCGGCCAGCUACUUUACUUGUUCGUUCAUCCAAUCUGGAAAGAGCAGCACCGCCAUGGCCACCGGUCUCGAGUAAUACUCAAGAGGCGAUUCAACGCUUUGUAAAAAUUCGGAAUGGAAGGCCUCGGAAGCGAUCUCUUUAAACACCAGUACAUGCAGCAGCGGCAGCGGCAGGAGUAGUGGUGGCAGGGGCAGAGUCAUGUACGUACCCGGACCGACCGACUUAUAACUGGACAGUUUCACGCAA